CAACAGUGAAAGAUUUAAUACCCACAUGACAAGGGCCUUCCAGACAUGGUCCAGCUGGGGUCUGAUGCUGAUUUGGAUAGAUCCAUGGCAAACUGAUGAAGAAAUUUUGGUCAGAGAGAUGAAGUAGCUCUGCCAGUACACAGCAUGGAAUUGAAAGCAAUGGGCCUGGCACUGACUGAGAGGUACUCACAGCUUGGGGCAGACUCCCAUUUGGAGAUGGGAUCCUGAAGAAGCCUGGAUGUUUGUGAUGGCGGUCAACAGAGCUUCCAGAAUGGGGACCUAGAUGCAGUCGUCUUCAAGUUCCAUAGGAGGGCUGUGGCUGACCUUGUCUCGUCUGAUAAACCACUGAAGAAGAAUGCUGUGUAUCUAUCUAGUGGGGCCUUCUAGGGAACUACGGGGGGCAAGGGCAAGUUCAUUGGCCUGUCAUUACUGUUUCCUAAUCUAGGGAGCCUCUCAGAAAAGACUCCCCUGAAGCGAUUGGUCUUCUCUGGCUCGGGCCAGGGGCUGAGGAGUGACGCUGGGUGGAGGCAACACCCAGGGAGAUAGGAAGCCUGUUCUGUGGGGCUUAUCUCAGGACUGUGAGGCAACUGAAGACAGAAGCCAUGAGAGGAGAAGUUUGGUAAUCUCAUC
rnacentral:lncRNA from 10 species